rnacentral:rRNA from 1 species
UGGGGAAUCUUGCACAAUGGGGGCAACCCUGAUGCAGCGACGCCGCGUGAGCGAUGAAGCCCUUCGGGGCGUAAAGCUCUUUCGACCGGAACGAUAAUGACGGUACCGGGAGAAGAAGCUGCGGCUAACUACGUGCCAGCAGCCGCGGUAAUACGUAGGCAGCAAGCGUUGUUCGGAGUUACUGGGCGUAAAGAGUGCGUAGGCGGUUUUCUAAGUUCGGUGUGAAAUCUCCCGGCUUAACUGGGAGGGUGCGCCGAAGACUGGGAAGCUGGAGUGUGGGAAAGGCAGGCGGAAUUCCUGGUGUAGCGGUGAAAUGCGUAGAUAUCAGGAGGAACACCGGCGGUGUAGACGGCUUGCUAGACCAUAACUGACGCUGAGGCACGGAAGCGUGGGUAGUAAAC